UUUUUUUUUUUCUUUUUAUUUUUUUCCCACUGUACAGCAUGGGGACCAAGUUACUCUUACAUGUAUACAUUUUUUCCCAGCCUUUGUUCUGUUGAAAUAUAAGUACCUAGACAUAGUUCUCGAUGCUACUCAGCAGGAUCUCCAUGUAAAUCCAUUCCAAGUUGUAUCUGAUAACCCCAAGUUCCCGAUCCCUCCCACUCCCUCCCUCUCCCAUCGGGCAGCCACAAGUCUAUUCUCCAAGUCCAUGAUUUUUGUGCCAGUACCAUGCUGUCUUGAUUACUAUAGCUUUGUAGUAUAGUCAGAUGUCAGGGAGCAUGACACCUCCAGCUUUGUUCUUUUACUGAAGGUUGAUUUGGCAAUUUGUGACCUUUUUUGGUUCUACGUAAGUUUUAGGAUUUUUUGUUGUAGUUCUGUGGAAAAAUGGCAUGGUGUUUUGAUAGGAACUGCAUUACAGUUGUAGAUUGCUUUUGAUAGCCUGGAUAUUUAAACACUAUUCAUUCUUCCAAUCCAAGAACACAGUGUAUCUUCCCAUUUCUUUGAAUCAUUUUCAGACUCCUUCAUGAGUUGGUAUGCUUGUUUCCCUUUCUCUCUAGUUUUUGUGUAUCUAUUAUAGGUUUUUGAUUUGUGGUUACCACGGCAUUCACAUACAUUCACCUAAAACUACAUCUUGUUUAAAACUGGUAGUCAUUUAAGUUUAAACACAUUCUAAAAGAUUUACAUUUUUUGCUCCCCUCCACCAACAUUUUGUUUUUGAUGUCAUAGUUCCCAUCUUCAUGUUUAUCACGUCACUGUUUAUUAUAAUUACAGCUGCUUUCAGAAUUUUUUGUCUUUUAACCCCUGUAAUAGAUAAUUUAAGUGGUUGAUCUCAGUCUUUACUACAUAUUUGCCUUUAUAUGUAGAAUUUUUUUCCUUUCCUAUAGGUCCUCACUUCUUUUUAUAGCCUUUUCUCUCUCACCUAGACUGUUUAACAUUUUUUAAGGUAGGUUUAUUAUUGACGAACUUUAGUUUUUGCUUGUCUGACAUGUUCUUUCUCUCACCUUCAAUUUAAAUGAUAAUCUUACUGGGUAGAGUAUCCUAGAUUUCAGCUUUUCCCCUUUCAGCACUUUGACUAUAUCAUAUCACUUCUGGCUUGCAAAGUUUCUGCCGAAAAAUCAGCUGAUAGUCUUAUGGAGGUUCCCUUAUACAUGACUUUUUUUCUACUGGUGCCUUUAGAAUUCUGUCUUACUUUUGCCAUUUUCAUUAUAUGUCUUGGUAUGCAUCUGCUUGGGUUCAUCCUAUUUGGGAUUCUCUGUGCUUCCUGAUCCUGUACAUCUGUAUCCUCCUCCAUGUUUGGGAAGUUUCAGCCAUAAUUUCAUUAAAUACAUUUUCAACCCCCUAUUCUCUCCUCCUUCUGUGACCCCAUGAUGCAAAUGCUUGUAAGCUUCAUUGAACCCAGAGAUCCCUUAAACUGUUCUCCUUUAAAAAUUUUUUUUUUUUUUUUGCUCUUCCAAUCAGGUGAUUUCCAUCAUUCUAUCUUCCAGAUUUUUUAUGCAUUCCCCUCUAUCAUCUGGUUUGCUACUGAUUCUUUCUAGUAUGUUUUAUGUUUCAGUUACUGUGUUCUUCAGUUCUGACUGGUUCUUUUUUAUAUUUUCUACUUCCUUAUUAAAAUUCUCACCACAUUCAUCUAUUCUUUUCCCUAAUUCAGUUAAUAUUAUUAAUGCUUUGAAUUCUUUAUCUGGUAAAUUGAUCAUUUCUGAUUCAUUAUCUGUUUUUUCAGGGGCUUUCUCUUGCUCUUUUGAUUGAGACAUUCCUCUAUCUUCUCAUUUUGCUUAACUUCCUCUGUCUCUACAAAGUGAGAUGAAACAGUUACCUAUUGAGGUCUUGAAGGGAUGAACUUAUUCAGGAGCAUCCUUAUACAGACUGCAUGUGCCCAGUAGCUUUGGUGGGAUCUGAUGUGAUCACACGUCACAUCUUUUGCAUGUUGUGUUAGCAGCUAUCACUUAGGUGAGAGGAGGGACUGGACAAAGAAAGGCUAGGGCCUGAACCAGGUGUGAGUCAGGGCUUCCCAUCUGCUAAAUGGCCAUCACUGCCUUAUCAGGGCAGGGGCUGGGGCAGAUCCUAAGUUGCUGGUAGAAGCCCUGAGGGUUGGGUUUGAACUGGCUCUCUUCCCUUUAAGUGUGAGCUCUCCUACCACCCAGCAACAUCACCAUUGUCCCAGCAAUACUGCUGGAGCAAGAAGGGCCCAAAUAAGCUCUUAGCAUGUGACAAUUCUUGGCAUAUGAUGAGGUACAGGCUGUGGAAGUCUAGCCACAGACAGAGUUCAAGGCUCCUUCUGAUUCACUGUCUAUGCCAAGUGCCAGUAAUAGCUGUCCCUAUCCUGCUCAGAUGCUGCUU
rnacentral:lncRNA from 1 species